rnacentral:lncRNA from 1 species
CCUGAGCCUUGUCGCCGUCUUUGGUCCUCGGCCGCAGCACGCGCACCAGCGACGCCGCGGGGGACGCAGCACAAAGUUGAGGAGGCGCCGACGACGCUUUCUUCCUCUUUCUGGCGGCGUAUUUCUCGAGGGCGUCGUCGGCGUAGAGCGCGGAGACCCUCCUCAUCUUCCGGUGCUUCGCGAGGCAGCACUCCCUGGAGAACGGGUUGCGGACGGCCGGCCCACGCUCGUCCUCGCCGCCGCCAAAACCCGUCUCACGGCCGCCAUUUUCCGCAUUGAUCUCCUUGCUCUUCCUGGACGAGCAAUCCGGCGCCGCGCUCUUCCUCUUCAUACCCGGCUUGCCGCUCGUCCUACUCCUCGGCGGCGCGGUGCUGAACUGCUGGAACUUCUUGCAGGCGACGAUGAGGGAGAUGUAGGAGGCGCCGUGGGGCGCCUGGUAGCGGAGCUCCUGGCGGCCGUCGCACUUGGCCUUCUUGUACAAGGUCCAGCCGGAGGAGAGCAGGCUGUCCCUGGCCCUGCGCCG